rnacentral:tRNA from 1 species
GGAAGGCAGCCGGAUACGGUUCGCCGGGCCUCUUUGCUAAAGAGUGCGCCUCGCCUGGGGUGUGAGGGUUCGAAUCCCUCGCCUUCCG